rnacentral:rRNA from 1 species
UACGGGGGGGGCAAGCGUUGUUCGGAAUUACUGGGCGUAAAGGGCUCGUAGGCGGCCAACUAAGUCAGACGUGAAAUCCCUCGGCUUAACCGGGGAACUGCGUCUGAUACUGGAUGGCUUGAGAUUGGGAGAGGGAUGCGGAAUUCCAGGUGUAGCGGUGAAAUGCGUAGAUAUCUGGAGGAACACCAGCGGCGAAGGCGGCGCUCUGGGCCGGUACUGACACUGAGGAGCGAAAGCGUGGGUAGCAAACAGG